GGAUAUUUAAGUGGGAUGUGAAAUCCCCGGGCUCAACCCGGGAACUGCAUUCCAAACUGGAUAUCUAGAGUGCAGGAGAGGAAAGCGGAAUUCCUAGUGUAGCGGUGAAAUGCGUAGAUAUUAGGAGGAACACCAGUGGCGAAGGCGGCUUUCUGGACUGUAACUGACACUGAGGCAUGAAAGCGUGGGUAGCAAACAGGAUUAGAUACCCUGGUAGUCCACGCCGUAAACGAUGGGUACUAGGUGUAGGAGGUAUCGACCCCUUCUGUGCCGUCGUUAACACAAUAAGUACCCCGCCUGGGGAGUACGGUCGCAAGACUAAAACUCAAAGGAAUUGACGGGGGCCCGCACAAGCAGCGGAGCAUGUGGUUUAAUUCGAAGCAACGCGAAGAACCUUACCUAGACUUGACAUCUCCUGAAUUACCCUUAACCGGGGAAGCCCUUCGGGGCAGGAAGACAGGUGGUGCAUGGUUGUCGUCAGCUCGUGUCGUGAGAUGUUGGGUUAAGUCCCGCAACGAGCGCAACCCUUAUUUUUAGUUGCUACCAUUCAGUUGAGCACUCUAAAGAGACUGCCCGGGUUAACCGGGAGGAAGGUGGGGAUGACGUCAAAUCAUCAUGCCCCUUAUGUCUAGGGCUACACACGUGCUACAAUGGUGAGAACAAGAGACGCAAGACCGCGAGGUGGAGCAAAUCUCACAAAACUCAUCCCAGUUCGGAUUGCAGGCUGAAACUCGCCUGCAUGAAGCCGGAGUUGCUAGUAAGUCGCGAAUCAGCAUGUCGCGGUGAA
rnacentral:rRNA from 1 species